AACCAGUGGAGAGAAAAGUACAACCCAGGGCCCGAGUAAUGCAAAAGUCUCCCGGAAUGGGGCAAGUCUAACCUUGAGCAGCUACUAUCUAGAUCACGAGAACUGGAGACACGUGGAGGAUCUAGAAAUGGCUGACAGGAUCUGAGGCCUCGGGGAAUGGACAUAGCCUUACAGAACGAAAGAGAGGAGAGGGAAGUUGGGGGAAAAAGAUGGGGGUGACAGGCUCCACCAGCUUCUCGGAUGGAGCCAGCGCCCGUAUCCAUGCUAUCCGACUGCAGAGAGAGUCGUGGACAUGAAAAGAAAAGGCACAACAAGGGAGAGAGAACCUGCGCCCCGCGAUGGGCGGUGGGUCGUGCCGCCACCUACCGAAUCCGAGACGAAGCCUCGUGUUUGCAGGACCCGCAUACCCCAGACACCCAACCGAGCCCGAACCGCCAACGCCGAGCCUGCCAUUGUCUUCGGCGCCUCUCAGCUCGCGUUGCGGGC
rnacentral:lncRNA from 1 species